AAUAUUCUCUGAGUCCUUGAAAUUUGAAGAUAUGGCUUCAGUUGCUACUCAAACCAUGGAUGCAAAGAGCAUCAAAUCGCUUGCGGAAUCACCCGCUCUCGGCUCUGUUCCUUCUGCUUAUGCCUUCAACAUAAACCCCAACGAUGAAGCAGAUCCAAACGAUCCCGAAUUUGCAAUCCCCAUAGUUGAUAUGUCUCUUCUCACAUCGGGAUCUCCUGAUCAACGGUCCAAAAUAAUCCACAACCUCGUCAAAAUUUGCCAAGAAUGGGGCUUUUUCAUUGUAAGUAGUUUAACUAAGUACUAACUACUUCAGUUAUUUUUCAGGAGAAAUAUUUAAGUGACGGUUGCUAGUGUUUUAGAGUUACUUGUAGCAAUUUGAUAAAGAAAACAACAAAAAUGAUACUUUUGUCACAUUUUCAAUAAAACAUUUGUAUCCUCUCUAAUAAAUAUGAGUCCCACAUACAUUACUAUUAGAGAGAUGAGAUAAAUAUGAUAUGAAAAAUGUAAUAAGUGUAGCGUUACUCGAAAAAAAAAAAGCAAGCUAAUUAAUCAUGAUCACGAUCUAUUCAUUCCAGGCAAUUAACCAUGGAGUCCCAGAGAGUCUAAUGAAGGGGAUGAUUGACGCGUGCCAUGGAUUUUUCAGCCUCCCAGACGAAGAGAAGGAGGAGUUCAAAUCCGGAAAUGAUGUGCUGGAGAUGUUCAAGUACGGAACCAGCUACAAUCUUGCAUUAGACAAAUUUCUUCUCUGGAGGGACUUCUUCAAGGUGAGAGUACAUCCCGAGUUCUACUCCCUCUACAAACCGGCUUGCUUCAGUGAGGUUUCAAUGGAGUUCAGCAAGAGAACAAGAGAAGUAGCAUUGGAGAUAACACGCGCAAUCUCCGAAAGUUUGGGACUGGAGCCCAAUUACAUCCAUGAUGCGAUGAACAUGGAUCGCGGCCUACAAAUGCUCGCCGCCAACUACUAUCCGCCUUGCCCUCAGCCAGAACAUGCAAUUGGUAUACCACAUCACACUGAUCAUGGCCUUGUCACCCUCCUCAUCCAGAAUGAGAUGAAUGGCCUCCAAGUUGAACAUAAUGGCAAGUGGCUCACCGUCAAUGGCCCUGCCAACGGUUUCUUUGUCAACCUCGCUGACCAAAUGCAAAUUCUUACUAAUGGCAAAUACAAAAGUGUGAUGCAUCGGGCAACUGUGAACAGCAAAGCGACGAGGAUAUCUAUUGCCAUACCACAUGGACCAUCUGUUGAUACACUUAUCGCACCGGCACCGGAGUUACUGGAAAAAGAAGGCCAAGCUCCGAAAUACAUUGGAAUGAAUUAUAAGGAGUAUAUCCAGCUUCAACAGAGCGGCAAGAACUACAUGAAAUCCACCUUUGAUCACAUACUAGCGUAACUGAGCUUUAUACAGAGUCCCAUGGCUUGGUCACACUUCAAACGAUCUCAACCAUAUUGAAAGAUCUGCAGCUGCCUUUUGAUUUCUUUUUCUUCGAACUGUUUUUAGUCUAAAUUUCCUUCUUUUGUUUCAAUGAUCAUGUCAUAUAGGAGUUGGCUUGAUGUGUUAUUAGCACCAAACAGCCUUGUAGUUCAAUAAUAUUUAAGCAGUUUUAGCGAAAUACUUCUGGUACUGUUUAUUUUUAACGAAAAACCACAUUUUUACGUUUUCUUAGUAUUAUUUACUACACCUUUAUUUGUCAUUUUUUAUUAAAACAAAAGUUUUUAUAGAUUUUUCGAUAGUUUCCUUAACAUUUAUAUUAUCAAACAUCGCAGACUAGCAGCCAGUUUCGAUUGAAAAUAGGCUUCAGUUUUCAGGGGAUGGGGCUUUCAAUAUAUUUGGUCUUUUAAGCCAAUGAUUGAUUUGAAAUUGAGCAUAAAAAAUAAGGAAAACUAAUGAAAAUGGUUUGAAAACUUUGAGUUUUAACGAUAAAGACAAAAUAAAUGAUAAAAUAAAUAGUACAAGAAUUGAUUUUUUAGUGUAAAAUAUGAUUUUUCGUUAAAGUAAACGGUACCGGGAGCUUUUCAUUAAAGUUCUUGUUUGUACCAUACUUGACCAAUCCCGAAACUACAACUAAGCUUCAAGUGAAAUUGAUACAUUACCUUGUGCGUCAACAUCAGCUAAAUACACCAUUCCCGGAUGGAGGAAAGGUACUUCCAGAGAAGGGCAGAUGAAGAUCAGACCACACUUCGGUACUUAGAAGUUUCGUGAUUACUCAAGGGAUUGGAUCUUGCAAGUCCCCAACCGAGGAGUUUCCCUCACUCGGGAACUUAGGGGAGCACUGUUUGUACCAUACUUGACCAAUCCCGAAACUACCGAGCACCGGCCAACGCUAUACUGUCAAGGACCCAGAAGAGUUCCCCUCCGACCAGGAGGCCAAUCACUACUCGACACGUGUCAAGAUUAGAAGCCAAUCAGAGCGCAGCACGUGUCGACAUCAAGAACCAAUCAUAACAUGACACAUGUCAAUGUGACAAAGCUACAAGUUUUUCUAUAAAUAGGGGUCAUUCCCCCACAAUAUUGGCUAAUGCCAUUUGUGUCAAAUCAUUCACAAGAACUCACUAAAUUGAGAGCUUGAUCCUUUGUACUUGUGUAAGCCCUUCACUACUAAUAAGAACUCCUAUACUCCGUGGACGUAGCCAAUCUGGGUGAACCACGUACAUCCUGUGUUUGCUUCUCUGUCUCUAUUCAUUUACGUACUUAUCCUCACUAGUGACCGAAGCAACCAAGCGAAGGUCACAAAACCUGACACUUUCUGUUGUACCAAAGUCUUCGCUGAUUUUGUGCAUCAACAUUUGGCGCCGUCUGUGGGAAACGACACUUAUUCCUACUCUCUUCAGCUGUGUCAAGCUGGUUUCUAUCAUUCGUACACUUUCUUUUGAUCAGGCAUCCCUCUCCAGCAUGGGAAGCGAAGGAAGCCACAGCACACAGAAUGACACCCCCAUUGCACAUAGUGCGAAACAACGAAAGAAGGAAGGAAAACGAGUUCUUCUUCAAGCUAAAGUCGAUGAGUUGGAAGCUCAGAACAACAAGAUAGCAAUGAAGAAUGAGGUCCUCCAGGAGCAAUAUGAGAAGCUCUUCGAGACAUUCCACGAAGCUAGGCAAGCUCAGACACGCGAGCUUGUUGCCCCCGUGGAAGUCAACCAUCAACUGGGUGCCCUCCAACAUGGAGGGUCACAUGCAUUCGACAUAGAUAUCCCUGAUAGGGAACAAAUUACCCCUCGAUUUGAUAAUCAACAUGAGGCUUCUCUUAACCCAGUUGCUUCGACCCGAACCAUGAGAAGCGGAGGGAGACACCUCUUUGCUGAAGGGGCAGAAGGAUCGAAAGCCGUCUUUCGCGAUUGUCGGGAUUUCCUGAAGCAACGUCGAGAGAAUUCCAUCCAUAUAAGCUCAAAGAUCAAUGACCCCAAGGAUUUCUGAGAGACUCGGUCCCCUGCCACGGCCCGAGCCGGCCACCAACUUGGGGAAGGUGCAACAAGUCCUAGAGAGACAUGAGGGUACAGGGGACUCAGAGGUGUUCCGACAGACAUACCCUGGAAGCCAGUACAGCGAGUCCAGGGAAAAAUCACAUGCCCUUGAUCAAACCUUCCUAAUUCCAAGAGGAGAUGGAGAUUUACGAAAGAAAGCUCCAGUGGCACAUAACUCCGCUCAGGACCGCCUUGUCCUACAACUUCUUGAGGAAGUAAACAAGUUGAAGGCUGAACGUCAGGCUGAAAUACCUGACUGGAACCAACCCAGGCCUGGCCCUCUUACAAGGAGGAUCCUCAACACCCCCCUUCAAGCAAAGACAAAGCAGAAGCUUGGCUUGCAACUUUAUACUGGAAAAGAGGACCCGAUUGAGCACCUUAACCUCUUUGAGUCCACCAUGGCAUACCGGAUGCACACCGACGAAGAGCGAUGUCUUCUCUUCCCCUCCACCCUCUCUGGCGGAGCUCUAAAUUGGUAUUGUCGUCUUACACCUGAGACGGUAGACUCAUUUGAGGAAUUGAGGAAACUAUUUGUUUCCCAACACAUUUUCCAAACCGAUCGCUUGCACUCUGCAGAUGACCUGUACACUAUCCGCCAGAGGCCAGACGAGUCAUUACGUAUGUAUGCUGGCCGCUUUCAGCCAUGAAUACUCCCGGUGUGCCGAGGCAGACGACAAGACUGCCCUCAAAGCCUUCACGGUAGGCCUACGUGAUUGUUUCUUUAAAUACAUGAUCAAUGCCAAUACUUGGAAGACUUACUCUGAGGUGAUGGCGCAGGCUUAUAACCAUGCCUCCGCCGAGGCAAAGACAUAUCAGGAGAAACCCCCUCACCCAACGCCAUGGAGGAAGAACUAGCAAUAGCUAAAGUUUGACGGUUGGAAAGAUCAUCCAAUGUUUCUCUAGUACAGGACUCUAACAAAGACCCUGAAGACUCCGACAUUGCAGACUCAGACUUAGAGCUAAAGCUAGAAGAGCCCUCAUCACUAGAACUUCCAGGCUCUGACAUCUACAAUAAGAAGAAACAAAUUCUAUCACUACAUGCAUGAUCAAAACAUAAGGAAGUUCCUAUAUUACCCACAUGAAGAUGGUGCAAAGCGAUGCCGGAACCCUUCUCAAUCAGAAAGCAAUCCGUCUUCCACAGUCACUACAAAAAACAAGCAAAUGAAGACCGUGUCAAGCGCCAAAAAAAAAAAAAAAAAAAAAAAAAACAGCUUCAUCCAAAAAAGCUUCACCCGAAAAGCUUCACCUCCAAAACUUCACCCAAAAAGCUUCAUCCAAAAAGUUUCACCCAAAAAGCUUCACCUAAAAAAGCUUCACCCAAAAAAAAAAACUUCACCUCCAAAAAGCUUCACCCAAACAGCUUCACCUAAAAAAGCUUCACCCACAAAGCUUCACCUAAAAAGCUUCACCCACAAAGCUUCACCCAAAAAGCUUCACCUCCAAAACUUCACCCAAAAAACUUCAUCCAAAAAGUUUCAUCCAAAAAGCUUCACCUAAAAAAGCUUCACCCAAAAAAAAAAAAAAAAAAAAAAAAAAAAAAAAAAAAACUUCACCUCCAAAAAGCUUCACCCAAACAGCUUCACCUAAAAAAGCUUCACCCACAAAGCUUCACCUAAAAAGCUUCACCCACAAAGCUUCACCCAAAAAACUUCACCCGAAAAGCUUCACUUAAAAAAGCUUUACCUACACAGCUUCACCUAAAAAAGCUUCACCUAGAAAGCUCCCUCUACAUACUUUCACCUACAAAGCUUCACCAUCAAAAGCUUCACCUCGAAAGCUUCAUCUACAAAGCUUCAUCUACAAAAGCUUCACCAUCAAAGCUUCACCCAAAAAGCUUCACCUAAAAAAGCUUCACCCAAAAAAAAAACUUCACCUCCAAAAAGCUUCACCCAAACAGCUUCACCUAAAAAAGCUUCACCCACAAAGCUUCACCUAAAAAAGCUUCACCCACAAAGCUUCACCCAAAAAACUUCACCCGAAAAGCUUCACUUAAAAAAGCUUCACCUACAAAGCUUCACCUAAAAAAGCUUCACCUAGAAAGCUUCACCUACAUAGCUUCACCCAGAAAGCUUCACCAUCAAAGCUUCACCUAGAAAGCUUCAACACCAAAGCUUCACCUACAAAGCUUCAACACAAAACCUUGCUCCAAAUAAACAAAUUUUGUUCACAAAACCCAAGAUGCCCUUGAACUUGUACAAAAACACAGGUCAACACAAACAUUUGUUUUGUUUUACACCCACAAGGGCAUCCCUGUCAUAACCAAACAAGCAAUUAUGUAUAUGUUUCCAAACAUAUUAUAAUAGAUCCAACAACAAGCCAAAGUCCCAAGUUUCAUAAUGGACAAAAGUACAAGCAAUUCAUCAAUAAUGAAGGUGCUACAAAACUUGGAAUCUGCCCCAAAAUAGAAAUCCAACCCAAGAGACUUUUUCUCUCUCUCCCUCUUCCGCCUCCUUUCAUCUAUCAAAUUUCUGCAACCUCUGCUCUUCUCCAAUGGAGCUGAAUUUUUGGACACCCUAUAGUUUUUGAGCAUAUGAACAACUUUCAAGAAGGAACCAUUUCUGUUUGAGCGACGGAAAUUAAAGUGUUGAAGCUCCAAACAUGACAGUCGGAUUCUUGCAGAUUUCGAAGCUGCUAUGAUGUUUCGAAGAUCUGGAAAUAUUUAACCAUUAGUUCAUUCUGAAUUUUUGAUAUGUUAUGAAAGAGACGAUGAGGCACAACUUCAAUGAAGAAAGCAUGCUGAUCUGAACAAUAGAAAAUGGAGUUUCGAAGCUCACAACAAAUCUGACGGGUUGACAGAAAAAUAAUAACCAGUCAUUCAUCAUACCUGAAUUUCUUGAGUUAUAUAGCUCCGAGGGAUCUCAAAUUUGGAUAUGUUGUAGUUCACAAGCUGAGGAACAACUUCAAUGAAGAAAGCAUGCUGAUCUGAGCAAGAGAAAAUAGAGUUUCAAAGCUCACAACAAAUCUGACGGGUUGACAGACAAAUGAUAAACAGUCACUCAUCAUACCUGGAUUUCUGGAGUUAUACUGCUCCGAGGGACCUCAAAUUUGGAUAUGUUGUAGUUCACAAGUUAAGGAACAACUUCGAUGAAGAAAGUAUGUUGAUCUGAACAAGAGAAAAUGGAGUUUCGAAGCUCACAACAAGUCUGACAGGUUGACAGAAAAAAAUGAUGAACAGUCACUCAUCAUACCUGAAUUUCUGGAUUUGUACUGCUCCGAUGGAUCUCAAAUUUGGAUAUGUUGUAGCUGACAAGGUGAGGAACAACUUCGAUGAAGAAAGUAUGUUGAGAUGAACAAGAAAAAAUGGAGUUUAGAAGCUCACAACAAGUCUGACGGGUUAACAGAAAAAUUGAUGAACAGUUACUCAUCAUACCUGAAUUUCUGGAGUUGUACUACUCCGAUGGAUCUCAAAUUUGGAGAUGUUGUAGUUCACAAGAUAAGGAACAACUUUCAUGAAGACGACUUUGCGAUCUGAGUUAUAGAGAAAUGGUGUUAUCUUGCAUCCACUCAGGCUGAUUAGUGGAAACGAAAAAGCAAUUCCACCAAAGAAAAGAUGAAAAAGAGAGAAAAGCUACUAAUUGCACUUGAUCUUGUCUAGUCAAUAGCAUGCAGCAUCAAAACACACAAAAGUUGGAAAUAUUUUUAGAUAAGGCAUAUGCGAAUGUGUGACAUCGAAACAAGGAUUCGUUACUUUGACAAAUUAGUAACAAGCGAGACACCUCAUUCGGCAACUCUCUUCGCCUGAAGACUUGGGGGACUCCCACCAUAUGCUACUGCACCUUAAUACUCGGCAGUCUCACAACCACUCAGUGACUUGGAUUUUUCAAGUCUCCAACCGAGAAGUUUUCCUCACUCGGGAAAUUAAGGGAACACUACCUCAAACUACAUGCUUCACUCACAAAGCUUCAACAAUACAGGUUUCAACAAAAGCAAAAAUUCAAAAAGAACUUUAUGAAGAAGGCUUUGGUGUAUUUAACACAAUAUAUUUGAAAUGAAGCAAAGCUUAUUUAUUAAUAUUUUCGAUAAGCCACAAAUAUGUACAUAUACAUGAGUCAAAAAUAAACAAACAAAAGGGAGCCUUCACAAAGGUUGCUUAGGGGAAGUCUCAGCAGUCGGUAGAGCCCCAGAAAGAGAAAGCACCGGAGGGGUGGUUAUCCGGAGCCUCAGUACUUGACAAAACCCCAGAAGGAGGAGGCAUUGGAGGUUCAUCAUUUGAAGCUUCAUUACCAGGUACAGCCCCAGAGGACGAAGGCAAUAAAUGCCUUUGGAACAAACCCACAAACCGCUGAUGAUCAAGUAAAACCUUACCAUCAGAUUCCUUCAUCUGGUCAAGCUUCCUCUUCAUGUUUGUAGCAUAGUCAUGGGCGAGCCGGUGCAACUGCUUAUUCUCAUGCUUGAGCCCUCUAAUCUCCUGUUUGAGACUCAUCACUUCAGCAGCCAAUGAUUCAACUUGGCGGGUUCUAGCAAAUAGGCGUUGGGCCAUAUUAGACACAGAACCUGCACACUGAACACUAAGAGCCAGAGAGUCCUUAACAGCCAACUCAUCAGACCGUUUGGAAAGUAGUCUGUUAUCUUUGGGAGUGAGAAGGUUCCUGGCCACCACUGCAGCGGUCAUAUCAUUCUUCAUCACAGAAUCCCCAACGGUAAGAGGACCAGUAGGGGAUAUGAAGGAUGGGCGCCAUAUGUUGUCUGGAGAAGGCGUGGCUGUCUCUUCUCCAAGGUUCAAGUCAAAACGACGGUCGGAGGGUCCAGACAUUUUCAAAUGUGUUGAAGAAGGAAGAGGUCAGACAAAUCAAGAUCUUAGAAGUGCAAGAAAUGAGCUUCUACUGGUAGAGAUUCAAGUGUGCUGUGGAACUUAAUGCCAGCCUCUAUAAAAAUCUGCACUCGACGGAGCUUUCAGAAAUCGAAGAGGCGUUUGCUUUCUCAAAAGCUGGGCUGCUCAGAGACCACGAGGGCCGAUCUCAGAAAUCGAAGAGGCGUUUGCUUUCUCAAAAGCUGGGCUGCUCAGAGACCACGAGGGCCGAUCUCAGAAAUCGAAGAAGCACCUGCUUUUUCAGCCUCGUCAGCACCUGUCACAUGCACAAUCAGCUUUGCGAAAAAUUACGGGCAAUCUGUCGAAGAUUUCUGGUGAAGUAGAAAGCACGUGAAUCUUACUGUUCAAUCACCGCUCUCCAUAUGCACCAUCAACUCCUCGGGUACCACAUAUAACUUUGUCAAAGAUCUCUGACAAAGUUUAGGCACGAGAAUUUCGAAGUUCCAGCUACCCUACUAUUACCCAUAAGGGUAAAGGAACAGCACCACUGCUUGACAACUGGAAAGUCCCUAUGUGUGUCGACCUCCGUGUUUUGCGGCAAGACAGGUUGGCAAGAACGUCCAACCUUUACUCACAUUCGAGAAAAGACUCCCAACAUAAUUACUUUCUCAAAAACCGGAGUAGCACCGCUUUCCGAAUCUCGAGAGUCAGAUCCUCGACGGGAUUGCUUGUUCGAAAACCGAAGAGGCACAACUCUCAGAACUUCGAGAGCCAGAUUUCCUUAGAUAAAGCUUGUCUGUAAUCUUCACACGUAACAUCAGCUUUCCAGAUACCACAUACCACUUUUUCAAAGUGCUCUGACAAAAUUAAAACACGUGAAGCUGGCAGCUCCCACUACAUUGCUGUGACCAAGAAGGGUAAAGGAAUAUCAUUACUACUUGUUAUUGGGAAAUCCCUAUAUACAUUGACCUCCCUCCUCAACGGACAGGCAAACCUGCAAAAAUGCUCAACCCUUUCUCUCGCAUUCGAAAAGGCACCCUCAACAUAACCUCUCGAAAUACUCAGCUUUAUUUCCCCCCGAUAUUACCUCAGCAAAUAAGCCACACCAAGAACAAGAGUAUCUCAUAUCAUCAGGGUCGAAAGCAAGAGUAUCCCAUAUCAUGCUUUCUCCCUAUCUUUGUCUUUGUCCUUGUCCACACCUGCAGGACAAGGAGAAAGAGAGCAGUCAGUCGGAACCUGAAAUCAAACCUCCAAUUUGGAACUGACUGCCUGGAGCCUUUGCCUGGUUGCUUACUUAGCAUUGCUCUCGAGUACUCAUCCUCAACUGCUGUCAAGGUCACGAAUUCCACCGGCAAAUACCUCAUGACAGUUGAUCAGAUAUUGGCUCUUUACACUGAAGCUGCCAAGCGUGGAUGAGUCACUAUGAAGGAAUGUUCUGAAGGACCAUUUAAAUGCAAAGGUUGCACACCACUUCUGUCAUGCAAAAGAUUGAAGCAGAAGGUUCAACGGUGAGCUGAAACAGAUCACUACAGCACGACACUUUUCCAUACCACAUUCAUUAUUCCGUCAACAGCAAAAGUAUCCCAUAUCAUCAAGGUCGAACGUACUCUAGAUUUGAUGGACUUGUUUUGACCCUCAAAUUUUUGAGUCGGCCUUAUACUCUGAAGGGCACCAGAAAACCCUCCAGCACAGUUCAAGAAUAAGCCUGUGGAAAGUUACUUCUUCAAAAGCAAAAGUAUCUCAUAUCAUCUCUUAUCCAUUUGCUUCUCCUUAUCCUGGCAGUUGAAUGAGAGACAAGGAGAAGGAGAACAAUCAACCGGAAGCCGAAGUCAAACCUCUGAUCCUGGGUUGCUUACUUGGAAGUUUGACUGCUUACCUUGUCUGUCACCUCUUUCGGCAGAUCUCCUAGCUCGGCGACUUGGGGGACUCCUACUAUAGGGUUUGUAUCACACUUGACUAAGCCCGAAACUACAACUAAGCUUCAAGUGAAAUUGAUAUAUUACCUUGUGCGUCAACAUCAGCUAAAUACACCAUUCCCGGAUGGAGGAAAGGUACUUCCAGAGAAGGGCAGAUGAAGAUCAGACCACACUUCGGUACUUAGAAGUUUCGUGAUUACUCAAGGGAUUGGAUCUUGCAAGUCCCCAACCGAGGAGUUUCCCUCACUCGGGAACUUAGGGGAGCACUGUUUGUACCAUACUUGACCAAUCCCGAAACUACCGAGCACCGGCCAACGCUAUACUGUCAAGGACCCAGAAGAGUUCCCCUCCGACCAGGAGGCCAAUCACUACUCGACACGUGUCAAGAUUAGAAGCCAAUCAGAGCGCAGCACGUGUCGACAUCAAGAACCAAUCAUAACAUGACACAUGUCAAUGUGACAAAGCUACAAGUUUUUCUAUAAAUAGGGGUCAUUCCCCCACAAUAUUGGCUAAUGCCAUUUGUGUCAAAUCAUUCACAAGAACUCACUAAAUUGAGAGCUUGAUCCUUUGUACUUGUGUAAGCCCUUCACUACUAAUAAGAACUCCUAUACUCCGUGGACGUAGCCAAUCUGGGUGAACCACGUACAUCCUGUGUUUGCUUCUCUGUCUCUAUUCAUUUACGUACUUAUCCUCACUAGUGACCGAAGCAACCAAGCGAAGGUCACAAAACCUGACACUUUCUGUUGUACCAAAGUCUUCGCUGAUUUUGUGCAUCAACAGUUCUCAUACCCAAUACAAAUAAAUAAAUAAACAAAUAAACAAAUAAAAUAUUAAUUUAUAUAUUUGGUUCAAUUCAGAACCAUCAAAAUCGAAAUUGUACCAAUAGUUUUUGGUUUGGUUUUCAAUUGAUUUGGUCUUUCCAGUUUCAGUACAGUGUUCAAUCAUUAUUUUCGGUUUUCCAAGCCCACUCCUAAGAUAUAGAUUAAGUUACACAGAUAUUCCAAAUAUAUAUACACGUACAACAAAACAUCUUAAUAAUGUAGAGUUGAAUUUGUACACUUUCCUAAGUUAUCUUUCACUAAACGAGAAAAGAGUUUAACGGGACUGUUUAGUUUUCCGAUUAAACUUAUCGAUACUAGCUUUUGGCCAUCACCGGAUUCUGGUACAGCUUCUCCGUAACCAAGUUCCGUUAGAGGUUAGAUAUGUCGUACGUACAUUUUGUUAAUUAGAUGAUCAAUUCCAUUAGUUUUACAUUAAUUGUUGUAAAAUUAACCAUGUGCUUGCCUUGUAUAUUAUUAUAUAUGUCGAGGACUUAAAAUCAUAGAAUAAAAUCUAGUUAAAAGAAAAGAGCGUACAAUUAAAAGUGACAAUGUGCUUGCCCGAUUGCUUUCAUUUCCUUAUGUCAGUGAUUGUCUCGUAAUUCAAAUGUUGGUGAACCACAGCAAGUGGUCAGUGGUAAGGGCACGAACUAUGGCUUCCUAAUAAAAAAAAAGUGGGAGGUUUCAAGUUCGUUGUUCCGAGUUGGUGAAUCUGUUUGACUAUGGUCACGGGCAGGGUGAAAUUCCCUAUAACCUCUCUGGGUUCAGAAGUGAUAGAUAACCGUGGUUUGCCACUAGUUAUCUCAUUUUUAGAAAAAAUAAAAUAAAAAGGAAAAAAAAUUGGUGGGCUGUUCGGUUUGACUACACUUCCUUUGCUUUCCAAGCAUCCCACGGCAAAGAAAAUAUGCAAUAGAUCCAUAACCAUAUGAGAGGGACCCAAACUAUCGGGUGACAAAUCAACUUAUUAGAAUGUUAACAAAUAAACAUUUGGACUCUUUUGGUUUGAUUUUAUCAUAAUAGGGUGGUAAGAUUGAUAGGGGAGAUGAUGGUGUAAUAUCUUAUUAUGGUGAAAUCAAACUAAAUGAGUAUUAAUUAUUUCCGUUAAUGUCUAAUGAGUUGAUUUGUCAAUCUAUUUAGCGCUAUUCUAGAAGUCCUGGAAAGUGUUGAGAGUAACACCCCACGUGUCAAGAUACAUGUGGGAAAUAAGUUGGGAUAUUUGGAAAUAUAGCCAUUUUUUAAAUCACUUUUUGAAAUAUAACCUACAUUUUCUAAUUUUAUAAAACUAAACCAAAAUUACAAUUAAAAAGACAUAAUUACCCUUAACCUUCUAUAAACACUCCUGUGCUGUCUUUAGACUCCUCAUCUCCAUUGAAACACCACCACCAAACUUCAUCUAGUGAUCCUGCCAAGCAGUAACUGCAAUUAAAAAGACAUAUUGGAUCGGCUACAAUAGUAUGGCGUAAGGCUUCUCCUGGGAAGAAGGUUGGUUUCAUUGCUGCUAGGUGGACUAGUGGUCUCAGAGGACAAGUUGCUGCAAACGUCUCUAAGGCAGACAAGUGAUGAGAUUACAUUUUCGACUUUUUCUAUAUUUGCCGUGUUUGGACUGUUUAUAUUUUAUUCAAAACUAGUUUGGAGCGUUUUGUGGAGGAAAUUUUGUUUAAGAAAAAAAAAACAACGAGGACAAAGAUUUAGAAAAGAAACACCACGAUUCUGGAAGCGAGGAAUGUUUUAAACUAAGGGCAAUAAGACUUUUUAACUUCAAUUUUGGUUAGUUUUAUAAUAAAUGAAAAAUGUAGGUCAUAUUCCAACAGGUGAUCUCUAAAAUGGCUAUAUUUCCAAGUUUCCCAAGUAAGUUAAGGCUUUCAACAAAAAUUUCAACUGACCGUUGUGUUUGUUGAACUGCAUUGCUGAUUCUAAGGUUAUUGACCAACUUAGCUUGAAUUAAUAUGGAAUUGAACAUAGAUAAAAAGGUCAUCAUCAAUUAGUUACUUGCAUUGGUCACCUAAUUAGGUUGUUUUUUAAUUAUUAUUAUUUUUUUUUUUUAGUUUUGCGAAUGAUUAGGUAUGCAUCUUAAUAAAAGAAAUGUUACACUUUGUUUAGGAAAAAUAUGAGGUUUUCCACCACACAUUAAUAUAAGAGUAAUUUUUAUCCUCAUGCAAUCUCAGUACUACAUGAAGAGCGUGAUAGCGUACUUUUAGCUCCCAGAUCAAUUGAUAUGCCAAAAUAGAAAUGAAUUUAUAGGAGUUCGAACUCAAAUUGAGAGUUUCAGAUCUUUACUCGCUUUCCACUAGACCAAGUUCCAAAUAUUGACUCACUUUCCACUAGACCAACCAAGUAGAGAUGCAUACCCACAGCCGACUGAUUGAUUUGAAGGUUGAUAUUGGUAAAACUGUAUUUCCAAAGCUUGAUCUUCCCAGAUCUCCUCAAAAUUUCAAAUUCAAUUUAUAUAUUCUUCUUCAUAUCCUUUAUUCAAUCUUCAUGCAUGAACGAUGCACAUUGGAGUAUUAUACAAAACAAAACCACCUUUGAUCCUUUAUAUGCAUUUUGAUACCUGUUGAAAAAAUUAAUAUUCCACCGCACAAUAAUUUUUAUUUUCUUAAAAAAUUGGACAACUGGUGGCAAGCUACGGUUAUCCACUCCUAAGCCAUACCACAUGGACGAUCUGUUGAUAAAAUUAUUGUACCGGCACCAGAGUUGCUAGAAAAAGAAGGCCAAGCUUCAAAAUACAUUGGAAUGAACUAUAAGGAGUAUGUCCAGCUUCAACAAAGCUGCAAGAACUAAAUGAAAUCCACCUUUGAUCACAUACUAGCGUAACUAAGCUUUAUACACAGUCCAAUGGCUUGGUCACAGUUCAAGCGAUCUCAACCACAUUGAAAGAGCUGCAGCUUCCUUUUGGCUUCCUUUUCUUCGAACUGUUUUUUGUCAAAAUUUCUCUUCUUUUGUUUCAGUGAUCAUGUCAUAUUCGGUGUUGGCUUGAUGUGUUAUUAACACCAAACAGCUUUGUAAAUUGUACGUAGUUCAAUCAUAUCAAACAAUCUUAGACUAGCAGCCAGUUUCGAGUGAAAAAGAAAGAUAACGGAUUCAAAUCAAGUGGUCCGUCAUCAAGUGAAAAAGAAAACAAGGUUCAUGAGCAGAAUAGCAGCACAUCAGUUUUAAUAUAUAACCCAUUAAAAUAAGACAGAAGAAAGAGAAAGAAAUAUCAAAUCAAGCGCAACUUUUGGAAUCCACAAUAACCAUAAGCAGCCGGUCCAGAGGUUUUUGAGGCUCGGGGCUAUAUAAAAAAAAGUGUCAUAACUUCAUGUAAGAAAAUUAUUUAUUUUCACACAUAAAACAUUAAAAAAAUUAUACUUAGAAAAACACUUCAAACUCAAUAAUUUAGAAACACAGAAAGACUAAUUUAUUUUGUAUUGAGAGAGGGAAACAAAAAACUUCGGACUUACAAGUAGAUAGAUGAUGAGUUUUGUUUUCCAUCUGAAUUUUGAAUGUGUUUUUGAAUAAAUCGUGAGAUUUUUUUUUUCUUAUUUACUAACCUUGUCAAUAUGAGACUAAAAAAUAAUGAUGUUUCGAGUCUUUAAUUGAUAUGUAUUAUUAAUGAAUGGGCACUAAAUUAAAUAUUUUGAUGACAUGUUAUAUAAUUUGCAAAUUUGGUCUACAUAUUAUUCUUUGUUGAAGAUUAGACUUGAAUUAAAACAAAUAUUUAAAAAUAACAACCCACAUAGCUACUAUAUAGUAACUAAAAAUAAAUUAACAACCAAACAAAAAAUUGUAAAAAUUGAAAAAAAAUAAACAUGGCACAUAGCAUUUCGAACUUAGGACCCCUUGUUAAUUUUAAACAACAAAAAUCAUUGUUUCUAAUUAAACUUCUUAAUCCUUUAACCAAAUUUUAUAAAUUUAUACUCUUAUAAAAACAAAUUUGUUUGUUUCUAAUUAAACUUCUUGAUCCUUUAACCAAAUUUUAUAAAUUUAUACUCUUAUAAAAAUAACUUUGUAAAAAAUGGAAAGUAAAUAAGCACACAUGGUGUUUUGAACAUAAGACCUCCUCAUUAUUUUCAAAUGACAAACCACCACUUCUAGUUAAAUUUUUGUGUCUUUGAACCAAAUUUUAUAAAUUUAUACUCUUAUAAAAACAUAUAUAAAUAUAUCACCCUAAUAAUUUUGGUGUCCCUAAUUUUUUUGGGUCAUGGACGGUCGUCCUGCCUGCACUGGGCCUGGGCCGACCUUGGCCCCAGACACCGAGGAAGACAUAAUCAACAAGAAAUAUAUCAAACAGAUGGAUAAAUCCUUUGCAUUUAAGAGACGGAGUUACAGAUAAAGAUAAAGAAAUAGAAAGAAGAGGGGAAAGAAGGAAGAGGCAAGGAGAAAGAAGGUGGGAGAGAAGGAAGGCGGGAGAGAAGGAAGAGGCAAAGAGAAAGAAUGUGGGAGAUAAGGAAGGCGCCAGGGAAUACAAAAAAGGAGAAAGAGAGAAUAUGGGAGAGACAGAUGAGACGGCAGGAAAAAAAAAAUCUAAUGAAAAAGAUUUUAAAAUUCUGGAUGUUAACUAAACAUUCUUUAAUAAUUUUAUUUAAUGGUUAGGACAACGCUCAAUACUAAAUCAGUCUAAUUAAAAUGACUCAAAGUAAUAUGUUUUCUAUUUUACCCCUAACAGCAAAUGAACAUAUGCCGUCCCUCCCUCUUUCUUUUAUUUUUUAUUUUUAUUUUUUUUUCCCGAGCAUCCCGGCUGCUUCCUGUGGGCCGCAAUCAAUAAAAGCCCCUCCCUCCUCUUACCUCUGCUACAUUCCUCCAUUAAUAAUAAAAAAGGACAAGAGUUGAUUUUCUGACCCACAUUACUCACACAUGUCUCUCUCAAUCAUUAUAGUUAUGCCUGGUAAUUCCUAACACGAUCCAAUAAUUCGACACGAUAAGACACAAAAUUAACAGGUGUUUAGAUCGAUACGAUAACGAAUCGAGUCUUAUCGGGUAACCCGAUACGCACCUUUUAAGAUAAUGGGUUGGUUCGAGUAUACACGUGGGUAACACGAUACACGAUAAGCAAAAUAUUAAUUUUAUAAUUUUAUAACCCUAAAAAAAUACUAUAAUAAUUAUAUAUAUAUAUAUAUAUAUAUAUUAAUUUAACAAUUUUAUACCCCUAAUAACUAUAAUAAUUAUAUAUAUAUAUAUAUAUAUUAAAUUAACUACUAAAUUGGUGACCAUUGGAUCGGCUUAAAUAUACAUACCAUUCAAUUUCUUAAGUGUUAUACGUACAAAAUAAAUAAAUUUAAAUCUACUUAAUGAAUAUAUAUAUAUAUAUAUAUAUAUAUACCAUUAAACUUGAUGGGAUACGAAUUCUACGAAACUAAUUUCAACGAUCUAACCGUCAACCUUGUUUGUAUAUGCUUUGAGAUCGCAUCAGCAAAAAAUUGCAAAAAACAAACAUUCAGAUAUUAAGUAAGGGAACAAAACUUUUCGACGGUUAUCAACGAAAAAUCACUAUUUAACAGUUAUUUUAACUCCGAUUUUGAUGAUUUUUUUACAGUUACACUCAUUGACCCUAUAUGAAUAAAAUGAAUGAACUCGAUCUUCAAUUCAAAAUAUUCACACUAGUGGAUACUACAAAAUCUUAUAUUAUACUUAAUAAAAGUAUGAAUAAACUCUUAAGUGUUAGUAAAUCUAUUGUUUUGAUGAGAUACGCAUUCUACGAAACUAGUUUCAACGAUCCAACCAUCAAACAUGAUUGUAUAUGCUUCGAGAUCGCAUACACCAAAAAUUGAAAAAAACAAACAUUCAGAGAUCAAGCAACGGGAUAAAACUUUUCGACAGUUAUCAACUAAAAAUCACGAUUUAACGGUUGUUUUAACUCCGAUUUUGAUGAAUUUUUACAGCUACACUACUUGACCCUAUAUGAAUAUAAUGAAUAAAUUCGAUCUUUAAUUUAAAAUAUUGGCACUAGUGGAUGUGGAUACCACAAAAUCUUAUGUUAUAUUUAAUGAAAGUAUAAAUAAACUCUAAGUGUUAGUGAAUCUAUCGUUUUGAUGGGAUAUGCAUUCUACGAAACUAAUUUCAACGAUCCAACCGUCAAACUUGUUUGUGUAUGCUUCAAGAUUGCAUACGCUAAAAAUCGCAAAAAAUAAACAUUCAGAGAUAAAGUAACAGGACAAAACUUUUUGACGGUUAUCAACGAAAAAUCAUGAUUUAACGAUUAUUUUAAAUCUGAUUUUGAUAAUUUUUUUUACAGCUACACUCCUUGACCCUAUACGAAUACAAUGAAUGAGCUCGAUCUUCAAUUUAAAAUAUUUACACUAGUGGAUACCACAAAAUCUUAUGUUAUACUUAAUGAAAGUAUGAAUAAACUCUUAAAGUGUUAGUGAAUCUAUUGUUUUGAUGGGAUACAUAUUCUACAAAACUAGUUUCAACGAUCCAACCGUCAAACAUGUUUGUAUAUACUUCGAGAUCGCAUACGCCAAAAAUUGCAGAAAACAAACAUUCAGAGAUCAAGUAAUGGGACAAAACUUUUCGACGGUUAUCAACGAAAAAUCACGAUUUAACGGUUAUUUUAACUCCGAUUUUGAUGAUUUUUUACAGCUACACUCCUUGACCCUAUAUGAAUACAAUGAAUGAACUCGAUCUUCAAUUUAAAAUAUUCACACUAGUGGAUACCACAAAAUCUUAUGUUUAAUGAAAGUAUGAAUAAACUUUUAAGUAUUAGUGAAUCUAUUGUUUUGAUGGGAUACACAUUCUACGAAACUAGUUUCAACGAUCUAACUGUCAAACAUGAUUGUAUAUACGUCGAGAUCGCAUACGCCAAAAAUUGCAAAAAACAAACAUUCAGAGAUCAAGUAACGGGAUAAAACUUUUCGAACGUUAUCAACUAAAAAUCAUGAUUUAACGGUUAUUUUAACUCCGAUUUUGAUGAAUUUUUACAGCUACACUACUUGACCCUAUAUGAAUACAAUGAAUGAAUUCGAUCUUCAACUUAAAAUAUUUACACUAGUGGAUACCACAAAAUCUUAUGUUAUACUUAAUGAAAAUAUAAAUAAACUCUAGGUGUUAGUGAAUCUAUUGUUUUGAUGGGAUACACAUUCUACAAAACUAAUUUCAACGAUCCAACCGUCAAACUUGUUUGUAUAUGCUUCAAGAUCGCAUACGCCAAAAAUCACAAAAAACAAACAUUCAGAGAUCAAGUAACGGGACAAAAAAUUUCGACGGUUAUCAACUAAAAAUUACAAUUUAACGGUUACUUUAACUCUGAUUUUGAUGAUUUUUUACAGCUACACUCCUUUACCUUAUAUGAAUACAAUGAACGAAUUUGAUCUUCAAUUUAAAAUAUUUACACUAGUAGAUACCACAAAAUCUUAUGUCAUGAUGAUUGAUGAAAAUUGAGGAUUUUGUAAAAGGAAUAACAUGCAAGCUUUGAGUUCCAUUGGCAAGGUUUAAACUUUUGAGAAAGGCUUCACAACCUUGAAAACAAAAACUCUAUUAUUUUACAUAUCCUUGCACAUUUAAUAUUUGUAAUAGACUAGUAGUGUAUGGAUGUGGCAAUGUGUGGUAUGUGCAAAUUUAAGAAAAAAAGAUAUUUUUCUUAAUGAGUCAUAACGGGUCGGGUCACUUUACAACGGGUCAGGACACUUUACACGUUGGGUAAAGUGACCCGACCUGUUAAGGACCCGUUAAGAUAACGGGUGUGACACGAUACGACCCAUUAAGAUAAUAGGUGUUACACGAAAACGAUACAAACACGACAGACACGACCCGUUUGCCAGACCUAAUUAUAGUCAUGAUAUGACCGAAUAUAUUUGUCAAAAAUGCUAUUCAAAUGUAUAUAUUUUUUAAACUAAAUAAAUAAAUAAUUGUGACUAAUUUGAAAUUGUUGGAUAUAAUUUUUUUUAGGACAAAUUAAAAUGGAGCUCAGAAAGGUUGCAUAUGAUAUCACUGUUUUAAUCUCGUAUGUCCAGACAUAUAUUAGAGCAACACCAUCACUGCACCAACAGAAUAACACGUAAUCAAAAUAAUUAAACACUGAACUACUAAUUCAAUUUAAUUCAGUUUAAAAAGAAAAAUAUGAAAAUAUUUUGCAAAACUAAUAACAAAUAAUCCCCAGAGACAAUUCCACAUAAGUGGAAAUUGCAGACAAUAUACAUAGCAUCAAAUUAUGUCCGCCCGUCUGCUUUUCCUCUUCAUCGAUACAAUUUUUAGCACAAAUCCAUUAAAAGAAAUGCCAUUGAAAAUCCACAAAAAAUAUUAAAUUAUUUUAAAAUCAAUAAAAAAUGGCAAAGCAUAUAGUUGGAUAUAAUUAGGGAAGAUAAGUUGUAUAGCUUAUUAUUAUUAGUAUUAGAUGCAUAAAUUUCAUAAGUUGUAAAGAAACAAAAAGAGUUGCACAUGACGGUGGAUAUUGCAAUUUGCAAGAAUCUAAAGACUUUAUAAUCCACACUAUUUUAGAAUUACAACAAAAUAACAAAUACUAUUUCUGAAGCUGAACUAAAAUAACUCACACUAUUUUUGAAAAGGAAGAAAAUACACACUAAUUUUGGAACAACAACAAAAUAACCCACACUAUUUAUGAAACAAAACCAAAAUAAUCCACACUAUUUCUAAAACAGAACCAAAAUACUCCACGUUAUUUCUGGAACGACACGAAAUAAACACUGUUUCUGAAACUACAGUAAAAUAACUUACACUAUUUAUGAAAUAGAAUCAAAUUAAUAAAAACUAUUUCUAGAAAUACAGCAACAUAACUCAGCUAUUUCAGAAACUGAACCAAAAUAAUCCACACAAUUUCUAAAAAUACAACAAAAUAACUCACACUAUUUUUGAACCUGAACGAAAAUAAUUCAUACCAUUUAUGGAAUUACAACAAAAUAACCCACACUAUUUUUUAAACUGAAUCAAAAUAAUGCAUACUAUUUUUGGUAGGAAAAAAUAAACAUUAUUUUUGAGACAACAACAAAAUAACACACACUAUUUCAGAAACUACUACAAACUAACCAGCACUAUUUUUGAAAAUGAACAAAAUAAAGAGAGUUUUGACAAAAUAACCCAAUCUUGAUUCUUGAAUAUCGUUUGCCCGUCGUUCUCUACAAAAUGGUAGUCUUAUAUGUUGCUAUUUAAUAGUAGAAUCUAUAGAUGAAUUACUUUCGAUUUGGCUAUAUAUAUAACAACAUGAAAUUCAACUUCAUGAAUAAUAUCUGGGAGAAUUGCAUGAAGUUUUCAGUCCUCUCUCCUCUCUCCUCUCUCUCAUGCAAAAUCAUGGUUGCUAUUUUUGUUUCAGAAAACAUAGAAUAUUUUGAUAAAUAUGUUUUUGUUUUUUUGUUUUUUUUUUGUAUUCAUGGCCCUUUUUGGGAUUCUGCACAAUCUUGUGUCUGCCAUGAAUGGACAUAGACAGUAUAUGUUGACAUUCAUGUUCACACGUAUACAUAAUAAAUUAAAUAUGGAAUCCCCAUAUAUGAAUAUAAAAUAUAUAAAUAAAUUUGGGUAAAUUACACUUUACCACCUCAGGUUUGAGGUUUAUUACAACCUCAUUCAAUAUCUUCAAAACAUUUCACUUUCAUACCUCAAGUACUAUUUUAUUUCAAUAUAAUACAUCCGUUCCAUUUUCCAUCCAUUGAUCCGUUAAGAACUGACAUGGUUGGCACAUUUAUGCCAUGUGGCAAUUUUUUUUUUUUUUAAUAGUAAAAAAAAACCUGAAAACCCCGAAACCCAUUCCCCCAGACCACCUACCUCUCCUUCACUCUCUUCACCUCCCAUCCCAUCCAAAAACCCACCUCAUCCCACCCCACCCCACCCUACCCUUACCUUCCCCGCAAGCCCCACCCCACCCCACCCCACCCCACCCCCACCUUCAUCGAGCCUUUUCUCCUCUUUACCCCCACCCCCUUUCUCCCUUCUCUCAUCUGCAACACUACCCACCCUUCCCUUCUAUCCGUUACUUAUCAUCUUUCCCGACCCCUUCCCCUUCCCCGCAACCCAAACCCCCUCAUCUCACCCUACACCCACCUCCCUCGCAACCCCCCCCCAACCCCACCUCACCCCAAGCGAUCCCUAGAUCUGGACCUCGACAACCAGUCAACGACCCAUAUGCGCCGAACAACCCAGAAACCUCGAAUAUGGUGAUGGUCUUCUCACCGAGCUCGAGUCCUUCGGCCAGUCACACUAGGCCCUAUUAUUGAAGUCGUCGGCGAUGAAUGUUUGGCUAUGAGGAUGAAAGAGAUAAAGGUGGUUGCUCCGGUGGGAUGAAAGGAUUGACAUGGUGGUUGUAUGAGAUGGGUGGUGGUGAUAGAGAAAGAAAGAAAUGAAGUUAGGAGGCUCGGGAGGGAGAAGAUGGGUAGGGGGUUGCAGGAAGGUGGGGCUGGGGUUUUGAGGAUUCAGGUUUUGUUUUUUUGUUUUUUUUGGAUUAAAAAAUUAUUUUUUUUGCCAUGCACAAAUUUGGCAGCCAAGUGGCACAAAUGUAGCAUCCACGUCAGCUUUUAACGGAUCAAUGGAUGGAAAAUGUAACGGAUGUAUUAUGUUACAAUAAAAUAGUACUUGAGGUAUAAAAGUGAAAUGUUUUGAAGAUAUUGUAUAAGGUUGUAAUAGACCUCAAACAUGAGGUGGUAAAGUGUAAUUUACGCAAUAAAUUUUGUCAUAACCUUGGUUAGGGCCCACACAAAGAAAAGGAGAGUUUCCUUUAAACAAAGGCAAAGUUUUGUUGGGAUGGUGGAGCACUAGAAGCCUCAUCACGUUCGUGUUUAAUGAGAUAGUGGGUUAACUGAUGGGAUGAGCUUCUGUCAGGGGCAAGGCUGAAAAAUAAAGUUUUGCUUUUGCACAUGCGCCUGUAUUCUAGUUAUGAGAAUUUAAAUUUUUUUCCUCAUUAUAUUGUAUUAUGUCAUUUUUAUUAGGGUAAAUUACAUAAUACCCUAUCAGGUUUGAGGUCUAUUACAACCACAUACAACAUCUUUAAAACAUUUCAUUUACAUACCUCACGUACUAUUUUAUUUCAAAAUAAUACAUCCGUUAGAUUUUCCAUCCAUUUGUCUGUUAAAUGCUGACAUUGCUGCCACAUGGCAAAUUUUUUUUUUAUACAUUAAAAAUAUUAUAAUAUUAACCCUAUUAAAAAAAUAUCAGAAAAACCCAAACCCAGAAAUCCUUCCUCGCAACCCUACAUCCCACCCCACCCCCUUACCCAUCUCUUCCUUCUCGUCCGUCCAUCCCCUCCACCUCUCCAUCCAUCCCCUCCACCCGAGCACCCCUCAGCGUGGGUCCCACCUUGACCUCUCGAUCUCUCUCUCCCAGAAAUCCUUCCCCACAACCUCACAUCCCACCCUCACCCUCUUACCCAUCUUUUCCUUCCCGUCCAUCCAUCUCCUCCACCCUUCCAUCCAUCUUUCCACCUUUCCAUCCCCUCUACCUGAGCACCUCUCAGCUCGGGUCCCACCUCAACCUUUUUCUUUCUUUCUCUCUCUCUCAUUUCCUCCCCUUCUCUGCCAGAAAUCCUUCCCCGCAACCCCCAAUCCCACCCCCACCCCCAUACCCAUCUCUUCCUUCCCGUCCGUCCAUCUUAACUUCGACGACCUCUUCCUCUUCGACUUUUCCAACAUCGACCUCUCCUGCCUCGCCUCCCCCAACCUCCUACCUUGAGUCCGACGACUCAUCGGGGGGCCAACUACCCAACCCCUUCUCCUCGAUCCCCAAGUCCAUCGCUUCCUCCGGUUUCACCGCCAUUGCUGCCCACCUUCAGAGCUUCUCCGUCGACUUUGACUUUUUUGACAACCUGGGCAGGACUCUCUACGAGUUUGGGGGUUAGGUUAUUAGGGUUUCGGAGUGGGGAUUUUGUAAAUGGGUUGGUUGGUGGGUAGAAUUAGGUAUGGAAGUGCUUUAAUGGGGAUGAACCGCGAGCUGAACAAUGGAUUUUGUAAAUGGGAGUUGUAGAGAUAUGAGGGGGAAGGAAGGGGAUAUGGGUUCGGGUUUUUCUAAUUAUUUUAUUUAUUUAUUUAAAUAGAUUUAAUAUUAUAAUAUUUUUAAUGUAUAAAUUUUGUUUUGCCACGUGGCAGCCAUAUCAGCACAAAUGUGGCAGUCACGUCAGCAUUUAACAGACCAAUAUAUGGAAAAUCUAACGGAGGUAUUAUUUUUAAAUAAAAUAGUAUGUGAGGCAAGGUUCUAAAAAACGCUAGGCGCUAGUCGAGUGGUGGGCUAGCGCCUAGCGCCUAGACCGCCUAGGUGGAUUUAGAUAAAUUUCUUGUAUAUCUUGUAAAUAAGUACAUAUUGACACUUACAAAAAAUUAUACUUGUAUGAAAUCCAUGGAUAAGAUAAUAAAAGAAUGAUAAAAUGCAAAAAGAGUAUCCAACAAGUCCAAAAUUUAAAAACACAUUAAGCAUAUAUGCCAUAUAACCAUAGUGAGGAGUAUUGUUAGAUGACACAUGUACAACAAGUUCACAAUUUAAAAUAACAUAAAAUGGAAAAUAGGUGGAAAAUAAGGAAAUUUAGUAAUGUAAGAUACUUAUCUUUAGCAUCCCGGAAUUUAAGUUGGUACACAACACACAUAUUCUAUAAAAUUAACAAAAUUUCAAGGUAUAAUUAGAACUUAGACUUUAAACAAAUUUAAAAAAAAAAGAAAAAAAAAAGCCACCCAGCUGCCUAGGCCCACCUAGCCCGCUUAGGACUGCCUAGCCCACCUAGGGCCACCUAGAGCCACCUCGAUUUUUCCAGCCGUUUUGCACAAAAUCUCCUCGGUUCCAAGGCGCCUAGCGCCUAGGCGGCCGCCUAGGGCGUUUUUUAGAACAGUGAUGUGAGGUAUGAAAGUGAAAUGUUUUAAAGAUGUUGUAAUAGACCUCAAACCUGAGGGAGUAUUAUGUACUUUACCCUUUUUAUUAAAUCUCAAGCCCUUUACAUUAAAUAAAGUUAUAGGAUGAUUUUUUUUUAUUAAAAUAAACUUAGCCCAAACUCUUUUAAUUAAAGCUUAAAAAAAAAAAAAGAGAAAUAAGAGGGAAAAUAGGCUUGGUUUUAGGGGACGAGGUUUUCAAUAUAUUUGACUUUUAAGUUGGAUUUACAUAGUUUUGCGUUGAAAUUAAGCUAAUGAUUGAUUUUCUUUUUUGAGUACUUCGAUAUUUUUAUACUAAGGGGAGGGGUAGUUCGACAAAACCAUACAAUGAGCAGCCUAAUUUAGUAUCGAAUUCGCCAUCUACGAGAUUCGCUUCUAAGACCUCUCACUUUUAAGUGAAGAGGAAUACCACCAAAUCAUAGUACUGAGUGGCAGCUAAUGAUUGAUAUUGAGUUUAAAAAAUGAAUGCUCCAUAUAAAUAAAUAAAAAAAUUAUUAAUUUAUAUUAUUUUAUGAGAAUUUAUAUAUUAUUUAGUUCAAUUCAGUUCAAUUUUUGUACCAUCAAAAGUGAAACCGAACCAAUAAAUUUUAGUUUAGUUCGGUUUGGUUUUCUAGUUUCAAUUUGAUUUUUAAUUGGUUUGGUCUUCUUUAGUUUCAGUUUAGUGUUCGGUCUUUUUGUUUUUUUCUUUUCGGUUUUCCAAGCCCACCCCUUAGAUUAAGUUGCACAUAUAAACCGUCUUAUUUUCCAAACAUAUAUAUGUACAACGAAACAUCUUAAUAAUGUAGAGGUAUCUUUCCCUAAACGACAAAAAGGUUGCAUUCAUUUCCUUUUGUCAUUGGUUGUCCAAAAAUGUUACUCUUAUUUAUUUGUGUCAUCUUUCUAAUAAAGAUAUGAUCUAUAUACACUGGCAGGCCAUAUCUUUAUUAAAUAGAUGAUACAAAUAAGUGAUAAGUGUAAUAUUACUCUUGUUCAAGCAUCCCACGGCAAAAAAUAUGCAAUAGAUCUAGAAACAAAUGAGAGAGACCUAGAGAACCAUUAGGUUGUUAACAGAAAAAUAUUUAGACCGUUUGAUUUAAUCUAAAGGAUUGUUAUUAGCAUUUCUAAAAUUUCAUUUCACACUCCAAAUUUUCUAUAAUAAGAAAAAAAAAUACACUUGUGAGGAGUGUAUAAUGAGAUUUUUGGAAUGCUAAUAACACUUCCCUAAUCAUAAUAUGACAGUGAGAUUAGUAAUGGAGAUGAUGGCAUAAUACCUUAUUACGGUGAAAUCAAACUAAAUGUAUCUUAAUUGUUUCCUAUUAAGACUUAAUGAGUUGAUUUGUUAAUCUAUUUAGCUAGCUAUUCUAGAAGUUCUUGAAAGUCUUGAGAGCAACACCCCGCGUGUCAAGAUACAUGUGGGAAAUAAGUUCAGGCUUUCAACAAAAAUUUCAACUGGCCACUGUUUGUUGAACAGCAUUGCUGAUUCUAAGCUUAUUGAAUUGACUAUACAAAACGAGCAACUUAUAGAUAAAAAAAAGUGGUCAUGAUUAAUUAAUUACUUGCAUUCGUCACCUAAUUAGGUUCUUUUUUUUCUUUUUUUUUUUAAAUUUUGUGAAUGAUUAGAUAUCUAUUACAAGAUAAAAGAAGAUAAUGAAAAAGAAGCAGAGCUAGAAGAAGGAGACAAACGAUACUAGAACAAUAUAAUAGAAGAAGAACUACACAACAAAGACAACAUGAUGGAAGCCUAGAAGAGUUGAAAGUAGAUAAGCAAAAGUUGAAAGAGCAAAAUAAUAAUGCAAUAAGUGGGGAAUAUGUCACAAUAGCACUGUGCAAAGUUACAUACAAUAAGUCUAGCAUUAGGCAAAAAUAUAAACAUCACUAUGGGACCCACGAUAAUAAAUAAAAUAAUGACAUAAGAGUAAAUAAAAAAAUACUUAAUCCAUUAUGGACAUUUUCCACCAAAAAUUCCCUUUUAAUUAAAAAUAAAAUUGAAAGGAGUUUUCAUUAAAUUCCCUUUUUGUAAACGAUGAAUAAAAUACUUUGUAGAUUCCAUAUUUUAAUUUUAAUUUUAAUUUAAGAAAUGUUAAUGGGACUCUCUCAAAGUAAGACUAUCCAUGGACUCACUGCCACCUCAUAAUUUAACAUUUGUUCUUGUGCCAACAUUAUAAAACAUUGUGCUAAAAACAUGCGGUAGCAAAGAGUCCCUAGAGACUCCACCUUUUGAAAGAGCCUCCUUAACAUUUCUUAAAUUGAAAAAUGCUAAAGAGAUUCUUUCAAAGUGAGUCUUUUCAUGGACUCAUUGCCACCUAACAGUUUAACGUUUUUUCUUGUGCCAACAUUAUUAAACAUUGUACCAAAAACAUGAGGUGGCCAAUGUUCUAAAAGAUGCUAGGCGCUAGUCUGGCGGCGUCCUAGAGCCUAGCGCUAGACGGGGCCUAGGAGGAUUUACGUAAAAUCGUAUAAAUAAGUGACUAUUUAUAUUUAAAAAAAUACAUAAUUGUACUGAGAUACAUAGAUUACAAAAUAAAAUAACAUAUAGAUUAUUUUAAGUAAAUUUAUUACAUAUAAUAAUAAUAAUAAUAAUAAUAAUAAUAUGACUUAUGUGCAUAAGUUGAGGAAUAUUUCUUUUGGUUUUGUAACAUUUUUGCUUAGCCUAAUAUGUUUUAAUCAUUGUUAUGCCUUACUUUUCAUUAAAAAAAGAUUGAGCUUGUUUUCACAUUAAAUAAAUAAAUAAAAAUUUAUUCCCUAAUUUUAAAAGAACUACCAGCCAAUUUUAAAAUCUUUAACUCUAGCCCUAGCCAACAUAAACUCUGUGUUGUCGCACUUCUUCUCUGCAAUUGCAGAUUUGACAGAGCUCCGUCUCUCCCUUUGUCUCUUCCUCUCAUGUCAAAUGUUUUAGGCCGACUCCUCUUCUACGCACGUAGAGAAGGGAAAAGGAGCAGCAACAUGAAGACUACCUUUGCAACGAUAAUUUUUCUUGAGUUACAUAACCGCCCGGGGGUCGCUGAGGCCGCCUAGCCCUCCUAGGGGGCCGUCUAGGCGCCGCCUAAUAGUCUAGCCGACUUGUUGAAUGAUUUUGCUGAAUUGACGGCAGUCGGUCUCCGUCGAGUGCCUAGGUCGAUUUUUACAACACUGGAGAUGAUAGAGAGUCCCACUUUUUGGAGUCUCUUUAACAUUUCUCUUAUAAUUUUUGGAAACAAUUAUUUUUUGGGUACAAAUUUCUAGAAAGAUAUUUUUUGGAGAGUGCUAUCCAAGCACAUAUUUCUAUUUCUUACACAUCCCUCUUAAUUUCCUACUAUCGGAUUAAAUGAAUUGAAGAAGGUUAAUCGCAAAAAAUUAGCAAGGGUUUGUGAGAGAUAAAAUGUGUGGGUGAAUAUCACUACUUUAAAAAAAAAAGAAAAAAAAAAAAACACUCCCAAAGUAGCUUGGAUUCGGUAAGUGGGAUGAAUUUUUGUCUGUUAUUAUAUUUAGGAAGUGCUAUAUUCAUACAUUAUUUUUCACUUUUUACACAUCCUUACUAAUUUUUUGUCAUUAAUUUUUUUUUAAUUCAUUCAAUUUAACGGUCGAAAAUUAAGAAGAAUGUAUAAAAAAUACGAAUGAAUGUCUGGAUAGUGCUACCUUAUAUUUGUAGCGUUGAAGGACGUAACGGUUUGCUUGCCAGUUUUGCUUUGUUUGAUGGUGUUGAAGGACGUAACCAUGUGCUUUUCAAAUUCGCUUUGUUAGUUUAAAUAGUCUCAUAUAUUCCAAUGUUGGUUUUCGAGUAAAAAUAAAACAAAAAACAUUCCAAUGUUGGUGGGCUGAUAAGUUUUGAUUAUGCUUUCUUGCUUAAUUUCCUGCCCUCCUCGUGUACCCGCAGGAAUCCCACGAUUCCAGAAGUCCUCGCUUGAGAGCGCAAAAUAUAGCCAUCAUGUGAUGGAAGAAAGACCAUACGGUAAAUGCUACACUUACUAUUAUGAUGUACUAUCACUUAUAUCAUAUCUCUAAUAGAGAUGGAUUUGCUAACGCAUGUGAGUCUCAUCUUUAUCAGAGAGAUGAUAAAGUGAUGAUACAACUAGAUGAUGAGAAUAGCAUUUUUGCAUAAAAUAUGGUUGAUAUUUUGACUUGCAAAAAUAUGGGUGGUGCCGGUGGCACUCUCAAUACUUGCGAGGACUUCUGCAAUUGUGGGUUCAAAAUUCAGUGGUAAAUGGCGGAUUACGAGACUUUUUUAAAACAAAAAACUGGAGGUUUCGGGUUCGAAAUCCGCUGCUGGUGUGGAAGCCAAACUUAUGGCUAAAGAGAGGCUGAAAUGCCUAUGUGAGUUUUCUUGACUUUCAAAAGAGAUGAAUAACCGUGACUUAUCAUCAGUUUUCCUUAUUUUUAAAAUUAAAAAAAAAAAAAAACAUUGUUGAAAAGGAAGAACUGAUCUUUGAUUAUCAAAUUGUUGGAUACUCUUAUAGACCUAUUAUCAAUGUCUAAAAUAUCGAUAUUAUCCCGAUAUUUCCAUCGAAAUUUCCGUGUUUUUGGAGUACCGAUAUUUCCGAUAUCAUCGAUAUUUUAGACCUUGAUAGGAACUCUAUGUGGUAAUAAGUCACUCAUGUAUCUUACCAUGCAAUGUAUGAAGUGUAAAAUAUUGUACUAAUUCAUUAUAUAUAAAUGAUAUGGUGUGUUUAAACUUCUUUCAUUAAUUACUACAUAUUUUCUACACUCACAAUGUUUGUCAACUCGCUAUAUAAUCAACUUAAAUCAGUUAAAUCCAUUAUGCAAUGCAUUUCCUUCCAAUUUUUUUUUGUGAUAAACUAAUAGAUUAUUGACUAAAUAAACAUUCUGCAAAGUUUCAAUAAAAAUUUCCAGGUUUUUCUUAAAAUUUCCGUGGUUUUUAUUCAAUUUUUUUCGAUAUCGAUAAUAUCCCGAUAUUUCCAUCGAAAUUUCCGUAUUUUUAGACCACCGAUAUUUCCGAUAUAAUCGAUAUUUUAUAUCUUGCCUAUUAUAUAACUCUUAUAGACUCAUCAUUUCAUCUCAGAAACUUCAUUUUGAAAUUGAUUAGUUUAGUACUUAAAUAUAUUGUAGAAUAAUUAGAUAGCUAAUUUCUCAAAAAAAAAAAAAAAAUACUACUUUAUUCUUGUAGACUGGUCAUUUCAAUGUUAUUUUUUUUUUAAUCUCGAUACGUAUGAGAAGGUUGGCCACCGACACCAAAUUAAUUAGUGAUUCCUAAAGCUUACUUCUGGAUUUGGACCCCAUCUGCAUCAUUUUUGUCAUGAUCCUAAGAAUCAAAUCUUAUCCGAUAAUUUAUCAAUCACAAAUUAUUUUAUUUAAAAUUAAACAUAAACAAUGUCUAACAAAAAUUGAUCGUAUAAUGUACGAUAAACGGAUAAAAUAUGAAGAUCCUCACAAACAGAAUCCGGAGAAAAUCCUCAUUCCUUACUUAUAUAACCAUACAUAACUUUCAUAAAAGGUGGGCUGGACAACGAACACGUUGAUUUAUAAUACGGAUUAUGAACACGAGAAAGUUGAUGACAUACGUCCCAGCUUCUCAGUGUCUAGCUAGCUCUAUAAAAUGGAACCAUUUCCUUCAUUUAUCAUCACAAAAGUUUCAUCUCGAUCGACUUACUUAUAAUUCUUUUUACUCAUCCUCUUCUGAUAUACAUAAUAUUCUCUGAGUCUUUGAAAUUUGAAGAUAUGGCUCCAGUUGCUACUCAAACCAUGGAUGUAAAGAGCAUCAAAUCGCUUGCGGAAUCACCCGCUCUCUGCUCUGUUCCUUCUGCUUAUGCCUUCAACAUAAACCCCAAUGAUGAAGCAGAUCCAAACGAUCCCGAAUUUGCAAUCCCUAUAGUUGAUAUGUCUCUUCUCACCUCGGGAUCUCCUGAUCAACGCUCCAAAAUAAUCCACGACCUGGUCAAAAUUUGCAAAGAAUGGGGCUUCUUCAU
rnacentral:lncRNA from 1 species